rnacentral:rRNA from 1 species
GAUCCUGGCUCAGAUUGAACGCUGGCGGCAGGCUUAACACAUGCAAGUCGAGCGGAGCGAGGGUGCUUGCACCUUAGCUUAGCGGCGACGGGUGAGUAAUGCUUAGGAAUCUGCCUAUUAGUGGGGGACAACAUUCCGAAAGGAAUGCUAAUACCGCAUACGCCUACGGGGGAAAGCAGGGGAUCUUCGGACCUUGCGCUAAUAGAUGAGCCUAAGUCGGAUUAGCUAGUUGUGGGGUAAAGGCCUACCAAGGCGACGAUCUGUAGCGGGUCUGAGAGGAUGAUCCGCCACACUGGGACUGAGACACGGCCCAGACUCCUACGGGAGGCAGCAGUGGGGAAUAUUGGACAAUGGGCGCAAGCCUGAUCCAGCCAUGCCGCGUGUGUGAAGAAGGCCUUUUGGUUGUAAAGCACUUUAAGCGAGGAGGAGGCUACUUAGAUUAAUACUCUAGGAUAGUGGACGUUACUCGCAGAAUAAGCACCGGCUAACUCUGUG